GACGAACGCUGGCGGCGUGCUUAACACAUGCAAGUCGAACGGAAAGGCCCUGCUUUUGUGGGGUGCUCGAGUGGCGAACGGGUGAGUAACACGUGAGUAACCUGCCCUUGACUUUGGGAUAACUUCAGGAAACUGGGGCUAAUACCGGAUAGGAGCUCCUGCUGCAUGGUGGGGGUUGGAAAGUUUCGGCGGUUGGGGAUGGACUCGCGGCUUAUCAGCUUGUUGGUGGGGUAGUGGCUUACCAAGGCUUUGACGGGUAGCCGGCCUGAGAGGGUGACCGGCCACAUUGGGACUGAGAUACGGCCCAGACUCAUACGGGAGGCAGCAGUGGGGAAUAUUGCACAAUGGGCGGAAGCCUGAUGCAGCAACGCCGCGUGCGGGAUGACGGCCUUCGGGUUGUAAACCGCUUUCGCCUGUGACGAAGCGUGAGUGACGGAAAUGGGUAAAGAAGCACCGGCUAACUACUU
rnacentral:rRNA from 1 species